AAAUUUCCAAAUCCGGCGCCGUUUUGGAUGAAUUCUCGAAAUUGUCGAUUUCUUCGCCGCCGUGUCACGACAAGGAGUUGAUAGAGGAAAACAGAGUGUUGGAGGAUAAGUUUCUGGAGAAUUUCUGGAGCUUCAAAUCGCCAUGGGAAGGGGAUGCACUUGAAUGUCUCCUCGCUGACAAAGUCCGGGCGACGUUCUCCAUCUCCGGCGAGCAAAUUUCGAGGAUGAAAGCUUUGGUGAACGGUGAUGGCGGGAAAUUGAAGCUGUUGUCGCCGCCGGCG
rnacentral:lncRNA from 1 species